UGGCACGAUGUUUCGCAGAGUGAGAGC
rnacentral:sRNA from 1 species